CAAUAUCCGAAUAUAUACGAAAUAGGACUAGAUUAAUAUGUAUAUUUAUAUAUGUGGUGCAGAUUUAUUUUGAUGGUUUUAAUGGUGGCCACAUAUGUGUACCAUGUGUCAAACAAUGAUUAGUCCUUUGUAUGUUAGGAUAUCUUGUGAUUUCUUUUAGAAAUCCUGCAGGUACUUAUAUAUAUUUACACUACAAAUAAACUCUCAUAUAAAAACUUUGGUUUCUAUCAAUAAAAAAUAGUACCAUAUGUGUUGCCGAUGUACGUGAGGGGUGGGAUCAUUGAUCCUUAAGUGUUCUUUUUCCUCCAUCUCUUUGUUUUUCCAUUCAUGGAUGGUUCGAGGUGUUGUAUGUGACACGCGGUAUGCUUAUUCGCAUAUAAUUAAUUAUCAAUAUCGAGUUAUUCAAACUCGGGUUCUAGUGGCACUGUCCGAAGGCUUUGCGAAAAGAUAUUUCAGCUUUGACGUCCAGACAGUACGAUAGUCGAGCGGGUGGCAAAUGUAAUUCCCCGGAUUUUCAACUGGCAGAUGGUUGGAAUCAAAGUUAAGUAGGAGAAGUUUAUGGAUGGUAUAUUCAGCAAGAUAUGCUCCCCGGAGAUAGAUGUGUGCACCAUCUCCAUCCUAUCGGGAGUACGAUUGUUCUGCAUGUGGUGGUCUUAUGAUCAAGUAAAGGAAGAACGAAGCACCGGAAAAAGUGGCAUUGAAGCUAUGUUUCAACGAAUGUUGGAUCUCCAGAAAGAAAUGUAUGAUAUUGUAUGUGAUAUGCAUCAGGACAUGAGACCAAUCAUUCAUGAGGAGAUGGAUAUCUAGGUCAAUCAUAUAAAGCACUCUUCUAUAUUAUGUUUAGAUGAUAUCUUGUCUGUGUAAUCAUUUAGAAUAAUUGAAGAGUGUGAAGAUGAGGAUCAAGAAUCCUAUACUGAUGAGGAGCUUGAUGUUGAUCAACCCUUGGAUAUUUUUCAACCAACUGAACCAACCAUGAGGGAUGAUGCCAAGAUUAAGAAAAUGGUGCUAGAGACAAAAGAAGAAAUCAAGCACAAUCCUGGUGAAGACUCUAGUCCAUUUCGGGGUAAAGAUACUAAUAGGGAUGAUACUCCGAAAUUGAGGGUUAGUCCUCAUUCAAACCACUUUUCAACAUUAUGCUUGGUGGGUGUGAUGAAGGUCUAAUCACCCAAGCAAAUGAUGAAGUUUGAAAAUGAGGAGGACUAUUCUUACAUUUUGGAGUUUGUCCUUCCAAAAGGGUAUAAUACAACCCCAACCUUGAAGGCCAAAAAGCUUAAAGAUCGAUAUCCAUUUAGUGGUUGUUUAAGAUUCUCACAGUUGCUAAAUGAGCCCACAUGAAAGCUUAGUGCAAAAUUGGGCAAACAGUUCAAGUCUUCGAAGUGGCGUGAUAGAACAUUCCUCAUCAUGCCCUCACAUUUGCCCAACACACUCCGAAAAUGUAUUGAUCAAAAGUUGGGCCGGCGUUUCAAAUCCACCAGGUGGAGACAUAAAUAAUUAUCAACAAGGUAUCUUGACGAAGUCUGAGUAGUCAAGAUAACUGAGUCACGCCGUGAAGUUAAACCAGGCUCUGCUUGGGAGGCAACCCAAGAUGUAAGUGAUUGGGGAGGACACUAAAGGAAAGAAGAACAAAUCAGUUGAAAUCUGGUGCAAAUAAUAUGACGUAGAGUUGACAACAUAUUUGAAGCGCCGUCAGACAUGUGAAAGGCUAUCAAAAUUUCCACCAAGCUUAGACAAAACCUGAAGAAGUGAAGUGAAGUGUGACGAUAUAUUUGAAGCGUCGUCAGACCUGUGAUAAGACAUCUAAAUUGUCGUCAACUCUAAACAGAACAGGAUGAUUUCUAGUGUAGAUGUGAUGACAUUUCUGACAUGCCAUCACAUAUUUGACACGCCAUCAAGAUUUUGUCAUCAGGACAAGUAUAAGAUGCUAAUAUACUGGAACAUUUGACGACAUUUUGCACAAGCCGUCAGAACUCUGACGUGCAGUCACAAAUGGCAUCACCUAUUUCGAGAAUUUUAUUAAUUUUGUUAUUUUAUUUCCUUAAUUAGGUUUUAGUAUAAAUAGCAUCUUUUAGGGUUUAUUUAGGAGAGAGGAGGCCGCACAUCUUGAACAUACGUAUUUGGAGAGAAUUCUCUCUCUAGGUUUCCCCUGUAAACUUUACAAUUAUUUUGGAAUUUUCUCUUUUGAUCUAAUUGGAGAAACACUUUUUGCUAUUCAUC